rnacentral:lncRNA from 1 species
CUAAAAUCGAGAAUCGAACUGUACCCGUCAGUUCUUAAUUCAGAUACCCGUUCGGGUAUUUAAUUUGACAAGAACCAUCGGGUUCGGUUCGGGAUAUUUGCCCAGCCCUAGUUGAGAUCGCAUUAGAUGAAUCCACCAUCUAUGUGUACAACUACGAUCAUAACUAUCUAACACAAGCUCAACUGGAGCUAAUGGUUGUGAUCAUCCUCAUGAUAGCUAGACAUGCGAUGAUUCGAGUUGAUGACAUAUUAGCCACUGUGCGGGACAUGAUGACGGUGAGACAAAGAGAAUUGUAUGGAUUUAAGAGUUUUUAAUUUGAAAACUUAUUUUUU